UGUAUGUCCAGCUUCCAACUCGUGCCUCAGAGGAAAUACACUGACAACUUCAAAACUUGUUCCAACUCAUCUUCCAUGUGUUCCUGAAGUACAUGCUCAAAUGCCAAUUUGUCCAUAUAAUGUCAUUACCGGAGGGGUGGCAGAGGGUUUUCUACUCAUCCAAAGAUAUCUUUGGCUAAGACAGGUUGUAUCUAAGGGCUCAAUUCCCAGAGACAUUAAAGGUCAAGAUGAGAGGCCAUACUGUGAACAAGAAGGCCUACUUUUCUGCAGAGUCUCAUGGUAAUAUCCCCUGGAUGUUUAACUGCUUCAAGACCAAGAGGCAAUUGAUAUUUUUUUUCUUGAUCACUCACUGUAUGUUCUACACGUACCAUUCACAGAACAUGCUUGCAGAUGUAUUUUGAGAUUCAUAUGAGAAAUCACAGGGGACAGUACCUGGGGAUCAAAAGGUAUAAAUAAAACAUUGGCUAAAAUAUACAGUAAACUGUGCAUGAUGCUUUUAAAUGAUCAUUGAAUUAUCAGACGGAUGACUCCAUAUGUUGUUAAUGUGGCUUUGGCACCUCAGUAUAUAUGAGACCAACUCUACAUACGCAGUCUGUAUGUAUUGUAGUAUGUUUAUGUUUUGAAUACUAGGUGAUGGAAAGACAUACUAUACUUUAACCUCCAACAUUCUGUCAUGGCCCUAAAGCAACAAUAUCCCCUACUAACAAUUAUACUGAUUAGAGGAUACUUAUUUGUUUUAGAUGACUUGGGAAUCGAUAGAUAUUUUUAGUGAUUGACAUGUAUCCUUGAUUCAAUGAUUUUGAAAUAUAAUUGAUGUGAUAAGCAGGAUCUGCCUUUGUGUUGCUAUUUGCAUUACUGCUGGUUCUGACUUUAAAAAAACAUGUGUAUUGGACAGUUGCAUAUAAUUAAAUUUGUAUGCAAUAUAAAUGACAGAACUGUGCAGAUGAAAGCUGCCAAAAAGGCAAAGGCUUUGCAGAAUAACAAUUUCUUACCAAAAUAUCUCAAGGUACUUCUGUUUAUCUGUGCUGUAAUCUGUAUCUCAAGGAUCAUGCUUGGAGCAGCUACAAUCUUCAUGUUUGUCCUGUUUAGCCGAAGGAAUAACAAAAAACAUCGAUUUUUUUUUUGUGAAAAAAUUCAAAAUUGUGCAGCUUUUCUAAGGUCACUGGGAGCAACAUCCCUGGUUGGGGAUCACUGAUCUAUUGAAUGAAAAGUCAGUCUCAUCAGGUAGUAUCAAGUCUACCAAGAACUUGAUACAUCCUAUGAAUGUAUUCCAGUGCAUUGAGAGCAUAGUAGAACACAGGUCAGUUUCUUAUGAUUGUUUGAAAAAAGCAAUACAGUCAAAUUAAUCAAUGAGCUUUUUAUUUCUUCUUUGGAAGAGGUUUGCUUUCAUAGGGGGUAGCUUAGCUGUGUGUAAACACAGGAUAUGGGUUUCUCUUACCUUCAUUCUUCUGCAAUAGCCUCCUCCUGGGCUGAUUUGACCUUUAAAUCUAAUGCAUUUGGUUAUGUUGAUUGCUUCUACGUAUAGAAGUCUAUAAAGGUAUACGCCAAAAAAAAUCCUAGACACCUAGCACCUGCUAAUAACCUCAAAACGGAAAGGUUAGAUUUUAUUUAUCAUAUUACAUAUAAACACAAGAACACUAGUAAAAUGCUUCUUAUUUUGAAAAUGCAAGUUUAACGCCAAUAAGUAAUCAUGUUACACUUGAUGCUGAUAUCUUAAAACAUGUGUGGGGUUAGGGUUAAUAGUCAACAGGCAGACUGCAGUGCUGCUCUUAAAAAAAUACAGAAAUGUCAUUUCAAGCUCUGUGGAGCAGCUAUCCAUUUUAGUAGCCUACUGUGUACCCUGGAAGCAUAAUGUAGCACUAAUGGAUAAACCAUGAAGUCAGGAAAGAGUCUGAACGAUUCCCUGCAAAGAUAAAAAGAAAAAAUGAAAAUACCCACACAUGGUUUCUACACAAAAAGCAAUCUUUCUACAAAAUCAUGGCACUGAGACCUGGAAUAAUUCCAAUAGUUACAAUGCUGUUUUUCUUUUAAUCAAGACUGUUAAUUGGAGACUGCAGUGAAUCACUUACACAGUACAUUGUGAAGGUUACGUCACUCAGUAGCCAGCUGGUAAAUAAAUGGUGUGAGAUCAUGUAAUAAUUAAUUUUCUAAUUGAAUGUUUCCAUUAGUGUGGCUCACCAUGUGGCAAGCCCCAAACAACAGAGAGACAAGGAAUAGUCAGAUGGCAUUUAUAUGGGAAUUAAAUGCUGUUUUCAUCACAUACUGUCUCUUCUGCUCUCUCCCUGAUCACUUUUUAAUUGGGAAUUUUAACAUAUUUUUCCCCUGGUAAUUCUAAACUUCAAUGAUGUUAGCACAUUUUCUAGGCAGUAAAUGUUUUCUUUCAUCUGUGCCCUCCUACCCUCUGAUGCUUCCAGCUGAUUCAGUUGGGUUACAAGAUCAACAUCUGCAAGUCAGGUCUAAUGUAUGGUUUCCACAAUUGAACCCAAUCCAAGCCAAAGCCAAGUCAAAGGAAAUGCUUUGUAAAAUACUGCAUUUUUUGCACAAAUAGCAAAAACGUAUAUACACAAGAGUUAUGAACAUCCUUUGAACAAACAUCCUGAUAUAAAAUAUACUUAGAAACUGUGAAUAGUGAUAACACAAUGAAUCAGACAGAGUCCACCACUCCCCCCAGGCCCCCCUUCCAAAAAGCCCCCUGCCUGAGCCACAACCCCCCCUCUGGCCGCAACCAACGCCUAACUUUUUCUUCUGGCAGCCAUAGCUGGGGCCAGGUAGGGAGUGCAGAAGCAGUGGCAAAGUCUUUAUGUAGGGAGGAUUUUCUCCCCAGUGUUCAGCCUGCCUAGUCUGAACCUGAUCUCUUAAGAUAGAACUGAUGCUUAAUGAUGUAGUUUGAGUCACAUGACUCACUGAAACUUGUGUAUAUAUAAAACAUAAUUCAGGCAUAAUUCAUAUAUAAACACCGGGCAAAUUUGCACCUGGGCAGUAACCUAUGGCAACCAAUCAAAGGUAUGCUUUAAUUAUUCAACCUGCAGGAGGAUGAAAAAAUGCAAUCACUGAUUGGUUGCUAUGGGGUACUGUCCAGGUGCAAAUUUGCCUGCUGUUUAUUAAUUAGCCCCAAUGUAUCCAGGGCGCCGAACACUGCCAAAUUUUUGCUAGUGUUACUUUGGCAAUGCGAGCAAAUCAAAGUGAAGAUGCGCUAGCGUUCAAUUCUGCCUAGCUCAACUUCGUUAGAGGUCUCGCUCAGGCUAAUUUGCAUACGGCGGGAAAUUUAAAGUUGAAUGAACGUAUAUUUUGCCGCAAAUACAUUACAUUACACAAGUCCAGGGAACUAUAAUAAAGAACAUAGAGUUGUUACAAUGCCCUACACAUGAUAUACACUGUAUAGUUAAUGUUCCAUAUGUUAGAAAAUGUAUGGGGGAACCCGGUUACCCAAAUCAUUUUUCAAAGAC